rnacentral:rRNA from 1 species
CACGUAGGGCGCAAGCGUUGUCCGGAAUUAUUGGGCGUAAAGGGCGCGUAGGCGGCCGAAUAAGUCUGAUGUGAAAUCCCUCGGCUCAACCGGGGAACUGCAUUUGAAACUGUUCGGCUCGAGUCCGGGAGAGGGUAGUGGAAUUCCCAGUGUAGCGGUGAAAUGCGUAGAUAUUGGGAGGAACACCGGUGGCGAAGGCGGCUACCUGGACCGGUACUGACGCUGAGGCGCGAAAGCUAGGGUAGCAAACAGG